UAUUAAAUUUUUCAUCCAUUUCUACUACAAAAAAUCGAUGUGGUUGACAGAAUAUUCAUGCCAUGUGUACCUCAUUCUAAUAUAAAAGACCAGUUUUUAAUAGUAGAAAUGGAUGGAAUUUUUAACA
rnacentral:pre_miRNA from 1 species